GCCCUGGUGGCAGAAACACUUAAGCACUCAGCUGCUAACUGAAAGGCUGGUGGUUCAAACCCACCCGGCA
rnacentral:tRNA from 1 species